rnacentral:rRNA from 1 species
GAUUAACGCUGGCGGCGUGCCUAACACAUGCAAGUCGAACGAGGUAGCAAUACCUAGUGGCAGACGGGUGAGUAACGCGUGGUCAACCUACCGUUGAGUGGGGGAUAACUAGCCGAAAGGUUAGCUAAUACCGCAUACGAGUUUCGGGGGCAUCCCUGGGACUUAAAAGGAGCAAUCCGCUCGAUGACGGGACCGCGUCCCAUUAGCUAGAUGGUGGGGUAAUGGCCUACCAUGGCACCGAUGGGUAGCUGGUUUGAGAGAGCGACCAGCCACACUG